CGAACCCGUCCUGGACGAAAGUCCUUCCCGCUCCGUCGCGCGUACCACGCACGUUUCUUUGUGAUCGAACCCUUCACGACCUACUCGAUCGACGAUCGUCGUGACACGCGUGCACGGCCCAUUCUCCGCUCUCGUAGAUCCUAUAGAUCGCCUCCCGUCGGAUCGUCCUGUCGUCGCCUUGAUUUCGUUCAGAAUUUCCGAUUCGUGGCGAAUCAUCGGACGCGCGCGUGCAUCUGAAAUCGCGUGUGGUGUGAUCGACGUGGCUCGAUCGAAGGUUUUUGCGUAACCACUGCAAGUGAAAGGAAGAUUGUUGGCUCGAGAAGGGUGACGAGGCUGAGCUGGUCUUGCGAAUCUGGACUAAGUGCGUGGUGGUGUGUGUGUGCGGGCCAGCGAGAGGCAGAAAGAAAGGGAAAGUCGAUGAUCGGCCCGGCGAUAGUUCAAGCUGGUGGUGCGUUCAACCAAUAUUCGCGGUGAAUCGAAUACCAGUGUACGGUGGAAACGCGAGUUUCACGCGAUGCCAGGCGAGCAUCGGUGAGACGAGCGUAAUCGCGGGAAAAGUGGAACCCGACGAAGAAAUCGGGUAUCGUGCGUACGAACGAUUACGUUUGCCCCGUCGAACUAUUCGUCGUGCUGAGGAUAUCAACGUCAACCUGUCGCUCUCCGAGGUGUUGAGUCUGCUGGACCACGCCGACGACGACGAGGUCCUCGCUGGCACGUCUGAGGAAAACCGGAGGAGAGCCCUGUGGCAGUUUUAUUCCACGGGGAUGCUCACGCACAGCCACAGUGACGGCGAGUUCCCGAUUUAUUCUCAGGUUUCACGUUGCAGCCUCGUCGCGAGGAAGCACUGCCAAAUUCGCUCCGCUCCAGAUGCGUGCGUUCCGCGGUUCCGGUAAAAAUCCAGGUCCCACCGCAACGAAAAUUUACGUCACUAAGAGGCGAACGUGCGCAGCGAUGCGCUUGCCGUAACACUGCUUCCUGCAUCCUUCGCCUCGUCUUCCAAGCCGACGACCUACUGAGGGAUAAGCAGAGGAUGUGACUGCGUAAUCAAUUUUUGCGCGGACUUUUAAUUGCUGGAGUUUUACGCAACGGAAAAUUCACCGCCGACGAUCGCCUACUCCCACAAUUGCGUCACGUGGCUAGGUUACUCGCUUCCUAACGCGUUAUUAACCAUCAAGACAUAGUGGCUUGUAAAAGAACUUGGCUGUAAAGAUUUUACGUGCUUUUUUACUGUAUAUUCAGUUCUUAAAAUGGAAUCUUCUCAAAAUUUACAUUCUUUAAUUCGUUCUUAAUACGUUGAUUGAUCCGUG
rnacentral:misc_RNA from 1 species